rnacentral:ncRNA from 1 species
ACUGUAUGAUUAAAACAAAGCAUUGCGACGGACGAUGAUCGGUGUUGACGCAAUAUGAUUUCUGCCCAGUGCUUUGAAUGUUGAAAGAAGAAAUUCAACCAAGCGCGGGUAAAUCGCUGGAGUAACUAUGACUCUCUUGUUCCUGAGGCUUCUUGCUGAUGGUUCGGUUAA